rnacentral:rRNA from 1 species
UACGUAGGGGGCAAGCGUUGUCCGGAAUCAUUGGGCGUAAAGAGCGUGUAGGCGGUCCGUUAAGUCGGCUGUGAAAGUCCAAGGCUCAACCUUGGGAUGCCGGUCGAUACUGCCGGACUAGAGUUCGGAAGAGGCGAGUGGAAUUCCUGGUGUAGCGGUGAAAUGCGCAGAUAUCAGGAGGAACACCAAUUGCGAAGGCAGCUCGCUGGGACGUAACUGACGCUGAGACGCGAAAGCGUGGGGAGCAAACAGG